rnacentral:tRNA from 1 species
UCCCUGGUGGCUCAGAUGGUAAAGCAUCUGCCUGCAAUGCAGGAGACCCGGGAUUGAUCCCUGGGUGGGGAA